AGCCUGAUCCAGCCAUGCCGCGUGCAGUGAUGACGGUCUUAUGGAUUGUAAACUGCUUUUGUACGAGAAAAAACACUCCUAUGUAUAGGAGCUUGACGGUCUCGUAAGAAUAAGGAUCGGCUAACUCCGUGCCAGCAGCCGCGGUAAUACGGAGGAUCCGAGCGUUAUCCGGAAUCAUUGGGUUUAAAGGGUCCGUAGGCGGUUUAGUAAGUCAGUGGUGAAAGCCCAUCGCUCAACGGUGGAACGGCCAUUGAUACUGCUGAACUUGAAUUACUGGGAAGUAACUAGAAUAUGUAGUGUAGCGGUGAAAUGCUUAGAUAUAACGUGGAAUACCGAUUGCGAAGGCAGGUUACUACCAGUUGAUUGACGCUGAUGGACGAAAGCGUGGGGAGCGAACAGGAUUACAUACCCUGGUAGUCCACGCCGUAGACGAUGGAUACUAGCUGUUGGGAGCAAUUUCAGUGGCUAAGCGAAAGUGAUAAGUAUCCCACCUGGGGAGUACGUUCGCAAGAAUGAAACUCACAGGAAUUGACGGGGGCCCGCACAAGCGGUGGAGCAUGUGGUUUAAUUCGAUGAUACGCGAGGAACCUUACCAAGGCUUAAAUGUAGAUUGACCGUUUUGGAAACAGAA
rnacentral:rRNA from 1 species